rnacentral:rRNA from 1 species
UGGCGGACGGGUGAGUAACGCGUGAGUAACCUGCCUUUCAGAGGGGAAUAACGUUCUGAAAAGAACGCUAAUACCGCAUAACGUACAGUUACCGCAUGGUAGCAGUACCAAAGGAGCAAUCCGCUGAAAGAUGGACUCGCGUCCGAUUAGCUAGUUGGUGGGGUAAAGGCCUACCAAGGCGACGAUCGGUAGCCGGACUGAGAGGUUGAGCGGCCACAUUGGGACUGAGACACGGCCCAG